GACGAACCGAGCGAACGUUGUUCGGAAUCACUGGGCUUAAAGGGCGCGUAGGCGGGUGCUCAAGUCCGGGGGGAAAUCCUCCAGCUCAACUGGAGAACUGCCUCGGAUACUGGGUGCCUCGAGGGUGGUAGGGGUAUGCGGAACUAUCGGUGGAGCGGUGAAAUGCGUUGAUAUCGAUAGGAACUCCGGUGGCGAAGGCGGCAUACUGGACCACAUCUGACGCUGAGGCGCGAAAGCCAGGGGAGCAAACGGG
rnacentral:rRNA from 1 species